CCUACGGGGGGCUGCAGUGGGGAAUAUUGCACAAUGGGCGCAAGCCUGAUGCAGCCAUGCCGCGUGUGUGAAGAAGGCCUUCGGGUUGUAAAGCACUUUCAGCGGGGAGGAAGGCGUUAAGGUUAAUAACCUUGGCGAUUGACGUUACCCGCACAAGAAGCCCCGGCUAACUCCGUGCCAGCAGCCGCGGUAAUACGGAGGGUGCAAGCGUUAAUCGGAAUUACUGGGCGUAAAGCGCACGCAGGCGGUCUGUCAAGUCGGAUGUGAAAUCCCCGGGCUCAACCUGGGAACUGCAUUCGAAACUGGCAGGCUAGAGUCUUGUAGAGGGGGGUAGAAUUCCAGGUGUAGCGGUGAAAUGCGUAGAGAUCUGGAGGAAUACCGGUGGCGAAGGCGGCCCCCUGGACAAAGACUGACGCUCAGGUGCGAAAGCGUGGGGAGCAAACAGGAUUAGAUACCCGGGUAGUC
rnacentral:rRNA from 1 species